rfam:Daphnia pulex DAPPTscaffold_326_Cont8728, whole genome shotgun sequence.
AGCUUUGCGCAGUGGCAAUAUCAUAACCAAUGAGGGUCUCCCGAGGUGUGAUUAUUGCCAGUUGAAACUUUAACCAAUACCCCGCCACGAUGAAGUGAAAUAU